GACGAACGCUGGCGGCGUGCCUAAUACAUGCAAGUAGAACGCACAGUUUAUACCGUAGCUUGCUACACCAUAAACUGUGAGUUGCGAACGGGUGAGUAACGCGUAGGUAACCUGCCUGGUAGCGGGGGAUAACUAUUGGAAACGAUAGCUAAUACCGCAUAAUAUUGAUUAUUGCAUGAUAAUUGAUUGAAAGAUGCUAUUGCAUCACUACCAGAUGGACCUGCGUUGUAUUAGCUAGUAGGUGAGGUAACGGCUCACCUAGGCGACGAUACAUAGCCGACCUGAGAGGGUGAUCGGCCACACUGGGACUGAGACACGGCCCAGACUCCUACGGGAGGCAGCAGUAGGGAAUCUUAGGCAAUGGACGAAAGUCUGACCGAGCAACGCCGCGUGAGUGAAGAAGGGUUUCGGAUCGUAAAGCUCUGUUGUAAGAGAAGAACGGGUGUGAGAGUGGAAAGUUCACACUGUGACGGUAUCUUACCAGAAAGGGACGGCUAACUACGUG
rnacentral:rRNA from 1 species